rnacentral:rRNA from 1 species
UACGGAGGGUGCGAGCGUUGUCCGGAAUCACUGGGCGUAAAGGGCGCGUAGGCGGCCUGAUAAGUAGGGGGUGAAAUCCUGCGGCUUAACCGCAGGGCUGCCUUCUAGACUGUCAGGCUAGAGCACAGUAGAGGCAGAUGGAAUUCCGGGUGUAGCGGUGGAAUGCGUAGAGAUCCGGAAGAACACCGGUGGCGAAGGCGGUCUGCUGGGCAGUAGCUGACACUGAGGCGCGACAGCGUGGGGAGCAAACAGG